rnacentral:piRNA from 1 species
UCUUUUGUGAUUUGAAAACCC